rnacentral:misc_RNA from 1 species
AGUUUAUGAAUUCAUCACCAAUGGCACCCUUUUCAAGCACGUCCAUGGAAGAAAUGCAUCAGAUUUCUCCUGGGAGACCCGCCUAAAGAUAGCAGCCGAAACGGCAGGAGCGCUGUCUUACUUGCAUUCUGAAACUUCAGUGCCGAUCGUCCACAGAGAUGUCAAGACUGCAAACAUACUCUUAGAUGCUAAUUACACUGCCAUAGUUUCUGAUUUUGGAGCAUCAAGGUUGGUUCCACUAGAUGAAAUGCAGUUAUCCACCAUUGUGCAAGGGACCUUGGGAUACCUGGACCCAGAAUACAUGCGCACAAGUCAGCUGACCGAGAAGAGCGAUGUAUAUAGCUUCGGAGUAGUCCUUGUGGAGCUGCUAACUGGUAGGAAGGCACUUUGUUUUGAUGGGCCUGAGGAGGAGAAAAAUCUGGCUAUGCAUUUUCUCUCUUCUAUAAAAGGGGGUAAAUUAUUUGAAAUUCUUCAGAAGCAUAUUGUGAAUAAGGGAAACAAAGAGCAGGUCAAGGAAGUAGCUCAGCUGGCAAAGCGGUGUUUGUGUUUGAAUGGAGAGGAAAGGCCUUCUAUGAAGGAAGUAGCUACGGAAUUGGAGGGUCUACACAUGAUCAAGAUGCAUCCAUGGGUGGAAGUGAGUACUGAGGAAACAGAGUACUUGCUAGCAAGAGAGGAAUCCUUUACUUCUGGUCAUGGGAACGGUUGCAUUGCAUCAAGUGCAGGGUUUGAUAGCAUCAAGGACCAUUUAAUUGUAUCAGUUGGUGGUGGUAGAUGAUUUUCUUUUUUCCUUUUACCGUUGCGUGAAUAAGGCUAUGAGCUUCUUCCUUCUAGGAAGGCUUGUGGGGAAAAUAAUUUUCAUUCAAGAGAAAAAAU